rnacentral:lncRNA from 1 species
AUAAUGUCUAAACUUGACAAAAGAAGAAAAGGUGUUUUUGGACCUUCACUCGGAAAAAAGUAAGAAGAAUUUUGUUUCAGUCUAUAUUUUUUGGAAGCUGUAUUAGGUGAUUAAAGUCUUUAAUUUGGAAUACAAAGCAUAUAAUACAGCUUAAAAUAUUAAACAACUGCGGUUUGCAGACGACGCUGUCUCUGACUGUGGUGUAGUUCUGAAACCUAAGCCUUACCAAUAACAGUUGUGUAUUCUUAGCUCAGUGUUUAAGACGUUGGAAGACGUAUUUUAUGCAAAUUUAUCUUGCAGCGGACAAUGUAUAGAUAAUUUGGAAGUAAAAUAAGUAUGGUUGGUUGGUUGGUUGGUUGGUUGGUUGGUUGGUUGGUUGGUUGGUUGGUUGGUUGGUUGGUUGGUUGGUUGGUUGGUUGGUUGGUUGGUUGGUUGGUUGGUUGGUUGGUUGGUUGGUUGGUUGGUUGGUUGGUUGGUUGGUUGGUUGGUUGGUUGGUUGGUUGGUUGGUUGGUUGGUUACCAUGUAUGCAUGCAUGCAUGUACAGCAGCCAAUAGAAUCUUCUUGUCAGUUGACUUCAUAAUAUGACAAAUUUCAUGUAGUUCACAUUUUGUUAAACAUUUUUUAGAUUUAUAAUUUUUGUCGAUGACUUAAACAUGCCUGCAUUGGAAAUCUAUGGUGCACAGCCUCCAAUCGAACUACUGAGACAGUAUCUGGACCAUGGAAAUUGGUAUGUAAUCCUUUGACGCUUUCAAAAAAUAUUAGGAAGGAACUGUGCAAAUUCAUUUUGAGUUAUUUAUUAGUCUGUUGAAAUACGUACAGUAGGGUUUUCCUAUAUAAACAUUUUUGAACAUUCAUUAUCAAUAGCAAUGAAAUCUAUGCCAUUUUGUAGUUUAAUAAUAUCUAGAGAGAACUACAAAAUGUCGAUUUCCUUCUUCUCUGUGGGAAGACUUCGUCCGACGUGAAAUAUCUGCUCAUAAUAUUUGGUUUCACUAUUCGUUUCGCUCGAAUUCCUGAAAAUGUUACUCCAAGUGUACAGUAUAUAUAGUGCUCACUAUGGUUUCUUUCAGGAUUGUGCUCAACAACACUAGAACAAUAUAUUUAUUUAUUUAUUUAUUUUUAUUAACCUUACAAUCAUAUUAUAUAAAAAAUACACAUGAUUGAAGGAUUGCAUGGACAACACAACUAGAAUCUCACACUAUAAGUCCAUCCAUCUAACACAAAAACACGACAUAUUACGGAUUAGAAACUGGACAACGUAAUACUGAUUUUACAGGCAUUAAUAAAUACUACACUACUGUGAAAUUAUUUGCGAUGUUCGGAUUUGACCACCACCAGCACCACUAGUUGGAAACCAUGCAUGCAAACCAGGUCAGCGCGAUGUAUUGAUGGUGGUAAAAGCGAAAAGUGACUCCAGCCUUACAACACUCACUUUAUACAAUAUAAAUAUGCAAGAAUAAAUACUACACUAUCAAAAUUAUUUGCGAGGUUCAGAUUUCCCCCCCCCCACCACCACCACCACCACUUGUUGGAACCACUAAUCACUUACAUGCAAACCAGGUCAGCGCGAGGUUGUGAUGGGAUUAGUGGAAGUCAAACGCGAAAACCUCGCUAUUUAACACCAGACCAGCUACGAGCAGCAGGUGAUGUUGCUCGAGCGACAUUUCAUGCAAAUAGUUUCCCAUGUCCUUGGACGCUCAACAUCAAAGUCCGGGUUUAGUUUAUUAAGAUAAUAGGUAUAUAAACUUUGGAUUUGAAUGCAGCGUAAGAGUUCGAUGACUUGAUAUGACUAGGAAUAUAUUUUAUAUCUUGUUUAUAGGUAUGACAAGAAGGAUACAUCGAAAAUCAGUUUAGUUGAUCUUCAGUUCAUAUGUGCCUUGGGCCCACCUGGUGGAGGACGUAACCCUGUCACUCCAAGAUUUGUCCGUCAUUUUAAUAUCAUAUCUGUUGCAAAAUUCAACGAUGACACAAUGACAAGAAUAUUCUCCAGCAUUGUCAGCUUCUAUUUUAAGGUUUGCCAUAUAAUAAUUAUUAUAUAUAAUAAUUAACAUAUAAGAAUUCAACUCAACUGGACAGUGUACCAUGCUACUGUGUUUAUAUGUUGUUUGUUGUUUCGCCAAACUUUCUUCCGCCAAACCUCGUGACGCCUUUCUACCCCCAGAGAGGCAGGGGGCGAAUGGCAAUUAUAUACACCUCUGCUAUAAAGCAAUUUGGUGUACAGCGAUUGAUCAUCUUCCUUUCUAUGUUCAUUUUAACAGAACAAUGAAUUUCCCAAUGACGUGUAUGCCUUAGGAUCACAGAUUGUUUCUGGAACCAUGGAAGUAAGCGAAAGUGUAUUUUAACAUAUUACUGAUUUACUGUGCAGUGCAAUAUUGCGCAUUGUUAUUUAUUGAUAAGAUUUCGUUGCAUCCAUGUAGUUGGCUAUCAGCCAACGGUGAUAGAAUCGUCAUUCGAAAUUUGUUUCAAAUUUUUCAAAAAUAAUAGAGCUUUCUUUGAAGUUAACAAACUUAAUAAUUCAACACUCCUUAUAUAUUGUUUACGUGGUCGUCGCGCGUGGUUUACGCGAAUCAUGUCACCCUGGUGAUAUGACUGAAAUCACCCGCUACGUCAAAUACGAUGACGUAACGUGUGAUUCGAUGAUAAAUUUUAUGCUCAGGUGGCACAAACCUUUUUUGAUUGGACGCAUUGAAUUUGAGGUACAAUAUUGAUUAUUAUCACACGUUAUGACGUCAUGCUAUUAAUACAACGUGGAAACACGAACAAUAUAUGGUGUUGCCCUCAUUAGUUCGCGGAGAUAAUGGAGGUAACAGUUUGAAAAACAAAAACUAUAAAUAGAAACCAAAACAGCCACGAAAGGUUUUGAAAUAUUUUGUGACGUAUAUUUGAAUGAAAAUCUUGCCCAAAUUGCGGAAGAAUUAUGCUGAAGAUUAUGUACAUGUAUCAUAACUUAAUAAAAUAUAAAACAUAUAAAUAAAAAUAAAACAAUUAUAUUGAAUACGGUUUUCAUAUGAUUUGAAAAACUGUUUGUGUUAUCCGCCUGAGUUUUCAUUAUGCGCAACCUCAUUAAUAAGUAAACACGUUUAACGUAUCUUUUAUUUGUAGAUCUAUAAAUCAGCCAUGACAAACUUGUUACCAACGCCAACAAAGUCUCAUUAUACAUUCAACUUGCGAGAUUUCGCUCGUGUCAUUCUCGGAGUAUUGCUAAUCAAGAAACAGGCACUGGAUGAUAAAAAGACUGUUGUGAGGUACUCUACGUAACACUUUACACUCACACACGAAAUAGGAAAUAUAUUACUAGUAGUUGAAUUCGAGAGGUUUUAUAAACUUAGUGUUUACUUGAAAAUCCUUCAGACAAUGAUAACAGUAAAACUGUACGUUAUCGUACGUUUUCCAAGAUUUUGUCGACAUACAAUCCUGCGUCCGUACGAUUUAAACGAAAAUUAGCGUAAAAUCCAACUAAAGCCCGUUUACACUACGCUCGAUUUUUGGUACCGUACCACUUUAUUGGUUCCAAGAACCAAAAAAGUGGUUCGGGUACCAAUUUUAUCCGUGCCGCACGAAAAAUUGAGCGUAAAAUGGGGCUUAAGACACUUAACUUUGUGCUUGUGAAAUGAUCCGUACGGCGGUAGAAAACAUGUCUUUAAGAUUCCUAACAUGAUCGUCUAUUUGAUGAUAGAUUAUGGGUUCAUGAAGUAUAUCGUGUAUUUUAUGACCGUUUGGUUGAUGACAAGGAUCGUGCCUGGUUACACAGCUCGUUGAAGAAAGUCACGAAAGAACAUUUCAAGGAGGAUUUUGACGCAAUGUUUAAACAUCUUGGAAACAGCAAGAAUGUAAGUGAUCUGAUAUGCUUUAGUUCUUGUUCGCCACAUUCCACUGCAAACGUUUGACUCAUGCAGAAACUUGAGUAAGAUAAUGCACCCCUGGUGCAGUGACUUAAAAUAUUGAAUAAAAUUACUCAACAAUUAUUUUACUCAGGUUCUUCAGUCAAAUACUCGGGGAUUUUAUCUAAGGAUAAUAAAUUUUGUACAAAACUAAAUUCUUUUUAAAAUUGUUGUCAGCAUGUGCUAUAAUAUUUUUAUCCAAACUUCGUUUUCCGCCCGGAAUAUCGAUUGCUACAGUUCUCAAGAACUAAUUACUUUUUACGAACAGAUAACAGAAGAUGAUGUGAGAAGUUUGAUGUUUUGUGAUUUCCUUAAUUCAGAUUUGGUAAUUAUAUUGAUUAUAAUGAUUAUAAAUUACACAAUUACCUGUACUUCUGCAAUAGAAUUGAACAGCGAAAGUGAAUGAUUAACGCAUGUCUUUAUGUUUCUUUUUUUAGUUGGUUGAAGAUCGCUUAUAUCAAGAAGUCAACUCGAUGGAUGAGCUAUACAAAGUUGUUGAACAGUAUUUGGACGAAUACAAUCAGUUGCAUAAAGCGCAGAUGAACCUUGUUAUUUU